rnacentral:rRNA from 1 species
UGGGGAAUUUUCCGCAAUGGGCGCAAGCCUGACGGAGCAAUACCGCGUGAGGGAGGAAGGCUCUUGGGUCGUAAACCUCUUUUAUCAGGGAAGAACACAAUGACGGUACCUGAUGAAUCAGCAUCGGCUAACUCUGUGCCAGCAGCCGCGGUAAUACAGAGGAUGCAAGCGUUAUCCGGAAUUAUUGGGCGUAAAGCGUCCGCAGGUGGUUUUGGUAGUCUGCUGUCAAAGCGCGAGGCUCAACUUCGUAUCGGCGGUGGAAACUCCAAGACUAGAGCUAGGUAGGGGUCACGGGAAUUCCCAGUGUAGCGGUGAAAUGCGUAGAUAUUGGGAAGAACACCAGCGGCGAAAGCGCGUGACUGGGCCUGAGCUGACACUCAUGGACGAAAGCUAGGGGAGCGAAAG